UAAAAAGGUAAAGAUGGAUCAGAUAGGCAUACACAUACACAUACACAUACACACACGCACUUGUUCUUAGAUUAUGAUGAGAACACAAGAGAAGAGAACCCAAAAAAAAAAGAAAUCAAUUUGUGUUAAUUACAGGACUCUUAGAAGCUGCUAAAAUUUAUUAGGAACGCUUGUUUCUGUAAUUCUCAAGGUUUCUGCGAGUCAUGAUAUGAUUGAUAGAGUUAUUAUAUUCAUAACCGAAAUUCAAAACUGAGACUUUUAACUUAUGAGGUCCAGGAAUUUUGGAGCUCUUGAUGAUCAGGAAAUAAUAAAAUGGAGAAAAUUUGUGAAUUCUGCACAGCAUUGAGGCCAAUUAUUUACUGCAAAGCUGAUGCAGCAUAUCUUUGCCUCUCCUGCGAUGCAAAGGUCCAUUCAGCUAAUGCACUCUCCAAUCGGCAUCUCCGCACCCUUCUAUGCGACUCUUGCAGAGACCGCCCAGCAUAUGCCAGGUGUUUGGAUCACCGGAUGUUUGUGUGCUGUGGCUGUGAUCAGAGAAUUCAUGGAGUCUCUUCCCAGCACCAGAAACGGAUCCUUAGUAGCUACAUGGGAUGCCCUUCUGCUAAAGAUUUUGCAGCAUUAUGGGGUUUUCAAUUGGAUGAAAUGGACAAAAGUGCUCUUCGAGAUCAGUUAUUUUCCAAGUCAUUUGCUUCUGUGAAACCUAGUGUAGCAACCUUUGACAUCCCCAUAGUGUCUAGACAGCAAACUGGAAGCUCUUCAAGAACAUCUAAGCUGAAUUAUUCAACUUUGGUUUCUGGUACACAGUCUGAAGUGGGAUUGAGCAAUAAACAAACAGAGGAACCCUGCAAAGGCCAAGGACAGCAAAAUAAUGAGUUUAUCCUGCAACAAAUUCUUUAUUUGGAAAAGCUUCAACUCACUGAGGUGGAUAACUGUUCACCUAUAAUACGCGGUGUAGAAGAAAUGGAUGUAUCUUCUUCAAUUUUUAAAGGCUCAGAGAAAUUUGAAGACAGUGUUGACCUUUCACAACAUGCUCAAGAUCCUGGUAAAGGUGACUGUCUACUUCAGGAACUAAAGGUGGACUCAUUGCCUUCACCCUUUUCUCAACCAGAGAAUUCACCCUUGCCUUCAACUGCUGCAAAUCCUUUACUUGGAGAAUCCUUUUGGCAAUACAGAAGCCCACUUCAAAGUGAUCAGUUAUGGUCUCAGAAUAUGCAAGACCUUGGGGUCUGUGAAGACAAUGCUUGUCAUGAUGAUUUUAACAUGCCGGAUGUUGAUAUAACAUUUCGAAACUUUGAAGAACUGUUCGGAACUGAAGAAGACCCCAUUAGAGCACUGCUUGAUGAUAAAGAUGCAUCAUGGUCCUCAGUGGAGAAGGAUAUGUCCGUCGAUACAUCACAUUGUAGAAAUGCAAGACCAAGGGAGGACAUUUCUGUUGCAUCAUCUUUUUAUGUUGGACAGCCUCAAAUCAACAAAAAUAUUGGUCCUCCUAACCAAGUUUAUAAUUUACAGAGAAAUCUGGAUUCUCCUCGGACUAUUCGACCAUCUUAUUCAGCUAUGUCAUUCUCUAUUUCAAGAUUUAGUGCUGAAGGCAGUGGCACUAAAUAUGUUGAUAGUGGACUUUCACCUUAUAUCACAGGGACUGAAGUUUCAUACCAUUCCUCUGAUCUGGAGGGUGCACAUUCAGAAGCGAAGGAAAAUGCAAUGGUGAGGUAUAAAGAGAAGAAAAAGGCCCGAACGCAAGAAAAGCAAAUUCGAUAUGCGCCUAGGAAAGCAAGAACAGAUGUAAGAAAGCGCAUAAAAGGCCGAGUCGUAAAGAAAGAAGACUACGACUCUGAUACUGUUGAUGUAACAAGAAGCUACUGAUUGAAUCUCUUGUGACAUGGUUUUGUAUAUAAAACCAGAGUGAUUCUGCUGUAUUAGGUGAUUUAUGAAAGCCAUUCAUGAAGAAAGCCAGAAGAAGCAACACUGACCAAAUGUGUUUUAAGGUUUCAUUUUCAAUUUGCUUAUUGAAGAAGGAAACAGAAGAAACAGACAUCAAAGUCUUAUACCAUAAACAGGUUUUGAAGGAAAUCACUAAAUGAAAUGUGGACCUCAUCUUCAACUUCAUUAAUGGUGUAUGGGUGACAAAAAUAGUUUUCAAAAUGACCAAGCAAGAAAAUCAAACUGGUAUUUUGCUUGGUGACAAUACCCAACAACAGCAUCAGCCAUUCAGCUUCAUGUUGGAAAUGAAAAUUCAACAAAAGUAACAUGAUGACCAAACUGUAAUGAAAGUGAUAGAGAAACCUAAUUAAGUGUGUUAAUUACAAAAGGGUUA